ACUCAAUUAGAAAUAUAAAAAAUAGAAUCUCUCCCUUCUCUCUCUACACAAAACCUCCAUUGAAGGACCUUGAAGCUCCAAGAAGAGGAUCAAUUCUCAAAGAUUUCAACUCCAUUUUAUGGAUAAGUCUUCAUUAAGGUUUGGGCCAUUGAAGUGAUUCUAGUCCUUUCUUGAAGAAACUAGGAUUGCUAUUCCCAAUAGGUGAGUCCCCAAGGCUGAGGAUGGAGAUGUUUGAUUCUAAUUAUAGUUUCACUUUCCUUAGUUAAAUACUAUGUUGUAAUUCGUAUUAUAAGGCUUCUUAUUGAUGUAAGGGCUAAGUCCCUAUUUUCAUAUUCUUAUGUCUAGAUGGCAAUGUGUGACAAAUUAGUUUCUUUCUUAAUAUAUGAAGUGAAGUUGAACUUCAAAUGAAAAGUUUUAAA